rnacentral:pre_miRNA from 1 species
UCUAGAACUAGAGAUAUGGGCUGAACACUGAAUAGUGUCUGGGCUGCAGGACAGAUUCUGACUUCUCCGUUGUUACUAAGAUUUGGACUUCCAAACAACAAAAUUGAUGUUAUACUCCUCAUGAAUGUUUUAGGCCUAUGUCUUAGCUUUCUAGC